rnacentral:tRNA from 1 species
GGGGAUUUAGCUCAGUGGUAGAGCACUUGCCUAGCAAGCGCAAGAUCCCCA